CCCAUAUAAUUUAUCAUCCAUAUCAUGACUUUUUGAGAAAGAAAAAUUUUUAAGCCUCAUUUAAUUAUUAAUUAUUAACCCUGUUUAAUUAUGUCUGGAAAACAGAUGUAAACUGGACUGACCCUGGAACCCUGGACAUAUCAUCAGCUUACCUAAAAUUCAUCUUUGUCUCCACCAACGAACCUGCCUUCUGAGUCCUACAUUACUCCCAAUUACAACACUGUACCUGAUUAUUCAGGAAAGAAAACUGCAUGCAAUGUUGGUCUGAUUGAAUCUGAAAACAAGGUAACCUGGGUACAUACUAUACAUCUCAAACUCUUUAUUUUGAUCAAGCAAAUUAUCACUUAUCAAAUGAUGGCCCCUUAAUUUGAACAAAACCAG
rnacentral:lncRNA from 1 species